CCUACGGGCGGCUGCAGUGAGGAAUAUUGGUCAAUGGGCUUACGCCUGAACCAGCCAAGUCGCGUGAGGGAAGACUGCCCUAUGGGUUGUAAACCUCUUUUGUCAGGGAGCAACGCCGUCUACGUGUAGCCGGACUGAGAGUACCUGAAGAAAAAGCAUCGGCUAACUCCGUGCCAGCAGCCGCGGUAAUACGGAGGAUGUGGGCGUUAUCCGGAUUUAUUGGGUUUAACGGGGGCGUAGGCGGAAUGCCAAGUCAGCGGUAAAAUCGCGGGGCUCAACCUCGCUCCGCCGUUGAAACUGGCGUUCUUGAGUGGGCGGGAAGUAUGCGGAAUGCGUGGUGUAGCGGUGAAAUGCGUAGAUAUUAGGAGGAACACCAGUGGCGAAGGCAGUCUGCUGGACAGCAACUGACGGUGAGGCGCGAAAGCGUGGGGAGCAAACAGGAUGAGAUACCCCAGUAGUC
rnacentral:rRNA from 1 species